GCCUGUUUAUCAAAAACAUCUUUUCUUGUUUAUUUAUUUGAGAUUUGACCUGCUCUAUGAUUUAUUUAAUGGCCGCGGUAAUUUGACCGUGCAAAGGUAGCAUAAUCAUUAGUCUAUUAAUUGUGGACUUGUAUGAAUGGUUGGACGAAAUAUUGACUGUCUCGUUAUUAAAUAUUUAAUUUAAAUUUUGAGUUAAAAUGCUUAAAUGUUUUUAUAGGACGAGAAGACCCUUUAGAUCUUAAAUUAUUUAUUUUUAAUUUUAUUUUAGUUAUUAUUUAUUUAUUAGGAUUAUUUAUUUUUUGUUGGGGUGACAUGGAGAUAUAAUUAACUCUUUAUAAUUUUGUACAAUUAUUUUUGUUUAUAUGACCUUUUAUUAAUGUUAUAAGAUUUAGAUACCUAAGGGAUAACAGCGUAAUUUUUCUUGAGAGUUCGUA
rnacentral:rRNA from 1 species